GUGGUUACCUGCCUCAUUGUUCUUCUGAAGAGGGUUGUGAAGACAGAGUCCUUCGCUCUGCAGGUGAGUGGUUACCUGUCUCAUUGUUCUUCUGAAGAGGGUUGUGAAGGCAGAGUCCUUCGCUCUGCAGGUGAGUGGUUACCUGUCUCAUUGUUCUUCUGAAGAGGGUUGUGAAG